rnacentral:rRNA from 1 species
AUUGAACACUGGCGGCAUGGCUAAUGCAUGCAAGUCGAACGAAAGCCCUUCGGGGCGAAAGUGGCGAAAGGGCGAGUAAUACGAUCGAACGUACCCCAAGGUGGAGGAUAGUGUCGGGAAACUGACGGUAAUACUCCAUGUGCUCUUCGGAGGAAAGCUUUGGCGCCUCGGGAGCGGCGAUCGUCCUAUCAGGUAGUUGGUGAGGUAAUGGCUCACCAAGCCGAAGACGGGUAGCGGGUGUGAGAGCAUGACCCGCCGCAUCGGGACUGAGACACUGCCCGGACUCCUACGGGAGGCUGCAGCGACGAAUCUUCCGCAAUGGGCGCAAGCCUGACGGAGCAAUGCCGCGUGUGGGACGAAGCGUCUUCGACGUGUAAACCACUGUCAGAAUCUAGGAACACUGACCAGAUUCAAAGGAAGGGCCGGCUAACCUCGUG